CAUGACGAACGCUGGCGGCGCGCCUAACACAUGCAAGUCGAACGGAGCUGUUUUCUCUGAAGUUUUCGGAUGGAAGAGAGUUCAGCUUAGUGGCGAACGGGUGAGUAACACGUGAGCAACCUGCCUUUCAGUGGGGGACAACAUUUGGAAACGAAUGCUAAUACCGCAUAAGACCACAGUGUCGCAUGGCACAGGGGUCAAAGGAUUUAUCCGCUGAAAGAUGGGCUCGCGUCCGAUUAGCUAGAUGGUGAGGUAACGGCCCACCAUGGCGACGAUCGGUAGCCGGACUGAGAGGUUGAACGGCCACAUUGGGACUGAGACACGGCCCAGACUCCUACGGGAGGCAGCAGUGGGGAAUAUUGCACAAUGGGGGAAACCCUGAUGCAGCGACGCCGCGUGGAGGAAGAAGGUCUUCGGAUUGUAAACUCCUGUCCCAGGGGACGAUAAUGACGGUACCCUGGGAGGAAGCACCGGCUAACUACGUGCCAGCAGCCGCGGUAAAACGUAGGGUGCAAGCGUUGUCCGGAAUUACUGGGUGUAAAGGGAGCGCAGGCGGAUUGGCAAGUUGGGAGUGAAAUCUAUGGGCUCAACCCAUAAAUUGCUUUCAAAACUGUCAGUCUUGAGUGGUGUAGAGGUAGGCGGAAUUCCCGGUGUAGCGGUGGAAUGCGUAGAUAUCGGGAGGAACACCAGUGGCGAAGGCGGCCUACUGGGCACUAACUGACGCUGAGGCUCGAAAGCAUGGGUAGCAAACAGGAUUAGAUACCCUGGUAGUCCAUGCCGUAAACGAUGAUUACUAGGUGUGGGAGGAUUGACCCCUUCCGUGCCGCAGUUAACACAAUAAGUAAUCCACCUGGGGAGUACGACCGCAAGGUUGAAACUCAAAGGAAUUGACGGGGGCCCGCACAAGCAGUGGAGUAUGUGGUUUAAUUCGAAGCAACGCGAAGAACCUUACCAGGUCUUGACAUCGGAUGCAUACCUAAGAGAUUAGGGAAGUCCUUCGGGACAUCCAGACAGGUGGUGCAUGGUUGUCGUCAGCUCGUGUCGUGAGAUGUUGGGUUAAGUCCCGCAACGAGCGCAACCCUUAUCGUUAGUUACUACGCAAGAGGACUCUAGCGAGACUGCCGUUGACAAAACGGAGGAAGGUGGGGAUGACGUCAAAUCAUCAUGCCCUUUAUGACCUGGGCUACACACGUACUACAAUGGCUAUUAACAGAGAGAGGCGAUACCGCGAGGUGGAGCAAACCUCACAAAAAUAGUCUCAGUUCGGAUCGCAGGCUGCAACCCGCCUGCGUGAAGCCGGAAUUGCUAGUAAUCGCGGAUCAGCAUGCCGCGGUGAAUACGUUCCCGGGCCUUGUACACACCGCCCGUCACACCAUGAGAGCCGGGGGGACCCGAAGUCAAUAGUCUAACCGUAAGGAGGACGCCGCCGAAGG
rnacentral:rRNA from 1 species